rnacentral:rRNA from 1 species
AAGCAGGGCCUAAAUACCCUAAAAGCAUCAGAUCCUGUCUGAUCUUAGAAUCUAAGCAAAGUUAGUUCUGAUUAGUAUUUGUAUGGGAGACCACUAGCAAAUGCCAGAUGUUGUAGACU